rnacentral:rRNA from 1 species
UACGGAGGGUGCAAGCGUUAAUCGGAAUUACUGGGCGUAAAGCGUGCGUAGACGGUUAUGUAAGUCAGAUGUGAAAGCCCCGGGCUUAACCUGGGAAUGGCAUUUGAGACUGCAUAGCUAGGGUGCGGAAGAGGGAAGCGGAAUUUCCGGUGUGAGCGGUGAAAUGACGUAGAUAUCGGAAGGAACACCAGUGGCGAAAGCGGCUUCCUGGUCCCAGCACCGACGUCAGGCACGAAAGCGUGGGGAGUCAAACAAGGAUGAGAAAC